CCAGACUCCUACGGGAGGCAGCAGUGAGGAAUAUUGGUCAAUGGGCGCAAGCCUGAACCAGCCAAGUCGCGUGAGGGAAGACGGCCCUACGGGUUGUAAACCUCUUUUGCCGGGGAGCAAGCCUGAGCACGUGUGCCCAGGCGGAGAGUACCCGGAGAAAAAGCAUCGGCUAACUCCGUGCCAGCAGCCGCGGUAAUACGGAGGAUGCGAGCGUUAUCCGGAUUUAUUGGGUUUAAAGGGUGCGCAGGCGGCGUGUAAGGGAGGGGGUAAAGGCCGGGGGCCCACCCCCGGCGAGCCGUUGAAACUGGCGGGCUGGAGUUGGAGAGAAGUACGCGGAAUGCGCGGUGUAGCGGUGAAAUGCUUAGAUAUCGCGCAGAACCCCGAUUGCGAAGGCAGCGUACCGGCUCCACACUGACGCUGAGGCACGAAAGCGUGGGUAUCGAACAGGAUUAGAUACCCUUGUA
rnacentral:rRNA from 1 species